rnacentral:lncRNA from 9 species
AGUACAAGAGCCUGAGUCGGUAGGGAUAAUUCCAAAGAAGAAAUUACUACAAAGCCCAGAAUGCUUCGCUCCAAACUCUUUGGGAAAGAUGGUACUACCAACUGAAGAGGUGGAGGUCGAAUUUAGGCCCCUAAAGGUGGAUGGCAAGAAGAGGAGGAAGGGACAGCUGGACAGAGAAGAAGAGAGGACAGUUUCUGCCUAGGCUGCCCAUUUUCAGCAGACACAUCACCCAACCUCCAGGUCCCUGCAGGGCCAUUGAUAGCAGUGGAGUAGUCACCAGGCCAGAAAUCUGGACCUGCUUCCAAAUCAAUGGAGACCUCCUACUUCAUAGAGAACAGAGAGCUGUUGGUCAUUGGCUCUGCGGGGCAACAAAACCCACAAACACCUCCAGGUGAGGUGGCCGUGAUCACCCAAGGAUACCCCUUGGAGAAGGUUGCAAGUGUGAGCCACUGGUGACCAUCAAACAGAUCUAUCUUCUACAAUUCCCUUGCAAUCAAACACAGGGAGCUCUGCAAGUGUCCUGGUCUCUUUGUGGCUGAUGCGGAAUCUAUUUUGAAAUAAGGAUUACAGAGAUCUCAGCACACAGUGAUUAAAAGCAACAGACUAUAGCAAACAACCCAAGUAUCCACAAGCUGAUGAG